rnacentral:rRNA from 1 species
GACGAACGCUGGCGGCGUGCUUAACACAUGCAAGUCGAACGGAAAGGCCCUGCUUGCAGGGUACUCGAGUGGCGAACGGGUGAGUAACACGUGGGUGAUCUGCCCUGCACUUCGGGAUAAGCCUGGGAAACUGGGUCUAAUACCGGAUAGGAGCCAUUUUUAGUGUGAUGGUUGGAAAGUUUUUUCGGUGUAGGAUGAGCUCGCGGCCUAUCAGCUUGUUGGUGGGGUAAUGGCCUACCAAGGCGGCGACGGGUAGCCGGCCUGAGAGGGUGGACGGCCACAUUGGGGCUGAGAUACGGCCCAGACUCCUACGGGAGGCAGCAGUGGGGAAGAUUGCACAAUGGGCGCAAGCCUGAUGCAGCGACGCCGCGUGGGGGAUGACGGCCUUCGGGUUGUAAACUCCUUUCGCUAGGGACGAAGCUUUUUGUGACGGUACCUAGAUAAGAAGCACCGGCUAACUACGUG